rnacentral:rRNA from 1 species
AGUGAACGCUGGCGGCAGGCCUAACACAUGCAAGUCGAACGGCAGCACAGUAAGAUCUUGCUCUUACGGGUGGCGAGUGGCGGACGGGUGAGGAAUACAUCGGAAUCUACUUUUUCGGGGGGGAUAACGUAGGGAAACUUACGCUAAUACCUCAUACGACCUACGGGUGAAAGCAGUGGAUCUUCGGAGCUUUCGCGAUUGAAUUAGCCGAUGUCGGAUUAGAUAGUUGGCUGGGUAAAGGCCCACGACGGCAACGAUCCGUAGCCGACCUGAGAGGAGGGUCGGCGACACUGGAACUGAGAGACGGUCCAGACGCCGACGGGACGCAGCAGUGGGGAAUCGUACGGAAUGGGCGAAAGUCUGACGGAGCAACGCCGAGGGAGGGAAGAAGGUCUUCGGAUCGUAAAACUCUGUUACUAGGGAAGAACAAAUGUCGAAGGAACUAUGCACGUCUUGACGGGACCUAAUCAGAAAGCCACGGCUAACUACGUG